UACGAAGGGGGCUAGCGUUGCUCGGAAUGACUGGGCGUAAAGGGCGCGUAGGCGGAUGGCUUUGUCGGGCGUGAAAUUCCAGGGCUUAACCUUGGGGCUGCGUUCGAGACGGGUUGUCUUGAGUGGGGAAGAGGGUCGUGGAAUUCCCAGUGUAGAGGUGAAAUUCGUAGAUAUUCGCAAGAACACCAGUGGCGAAGGCGGCUCACUGGCCCGGUACUGACGCUGAGGCACGAAAGCGUGGGGAGCAAACAGGG
rnacentral:rRNA from 1 species